UUAAAUUGUGUCUAUUUUUUCUUGGCACAGGAAGGUGGUGCACUAUUAGAAGUCAUGUUUCAUUUUUCCCAAGUAUUUCAAAGUUCAAAGUAUAUUUAUUAUGAAAGUACAUACAUGUCACCAUAUACAGCUCUGAGGUUCAUUUUCUUGUGGUCAUGCUCAAUAAAUCUAUAGAAUAAUAAUCAUAGCAGAAUCAAGGAAAGGCUGCCCAACUAGGGCAUUCAAAUAGAGUGCAGAAGACAACAAAUAUGCAAAUACAAAAAGGAGAAAUGAUGAUGAUGAUGAUGAUGAUAAUAAUAAUAAAUAAACAAUAAAUAUCGAGAACUUAAGAUGAGGAGUGCUUGAAACUGAGCCCAUUGGUUGUGGGAGCAUUUUAAUGACAGGGCAAGUAAAGUUAUCCGCUUGUGUUCAAGAGUCUGUUGGUUGAGGAGUUGUAACGAUUCCUGAACCUGGAGUCCUGAGGGUCCUGUACCUCCUUCCUGGUGGCAGCAAUGAGAAAAGAGCAUGUCCUGGGUUCCUGAAUGCUGGAUGCUGCUUUCCUCUGAUGGUGUUUCAUGCAGAUGUGCUCAUUGAUGGGGAGGAUUUUAUCCAUGAUGGACUGGGCUGUAUCCACUAUAUUUUGUAGGAUUUUCCAUUCAAGGCCAUUGGUGUGUUCACACCAGGCUGUGAUGCAGCCAGGCAAUAUAUAUUCCAUUACGUAUCUAUAGAAGUUUGUCAGAAUGUUAGAUGUCGCCAAAUUUUCAUAAACUCCUAAAGAAGUAGAGGCAUUGCCAUGGGAAAUAGGAAGCACAAUGUCAUGUAAAUAAAUGUUCUGAAAUUAAUCCAACCAGUAUUGACAACCCUAGUGCCACUGAAAGUAAAAACAAAGGACUAAACAUUGGAGACAGAUCAAGAGGCUGAGUACUGGUCAGGGAAGGGAGAAUCAAUAGACAAAACCAGCAAGUGACAAAAUCAGCUAAGUCAGAACAGGCAACACACACAAAAUACUGGAGGAACUCAGCAGGCCAGGCAGCAUCUAUUGAAAAGAGUAAACAGUCAACAUUUCGGGCCAAGACCCUUCAUCAUGACUACUUCAGAACAGGAUUUGAUAUUAGAUUUGAAAAAGCCAUCAAACAUUUGGCAUUUGGAUCAUCAUUUAUCUUGUGUCUAAUAAAAUGCCAUUAAACUAAUUUAAACACUAUGAGCAUGUGAGUGAUUGUUAGAUAAGGUUCAAAAAUGUAAUAUAUAAUAAAUCAGACUGAAAAUUAAGAGAGCACAUAAUACAAAAGAAGUGAUUCACAUAUUGAAAUGUAGGCAAAUACAUAUAGAUACAUUUGAUCUUUGGGCACUAUCAUCGCUGAGCAUUUCAUGGCAGCAACAUAUUUUGGAAUAUUGCUUACAGAAGAUAUUUUGCCUGUUGCAUUACCAGGCCAAUUUAAUCGAAUUUUGAGUAUGGAUAAUUAUUUAGUCAUCCUGCAAAUGACGGAAAUGUAAAAGUAGAUUGUUCAUUUUUGAUUAGCCAAGUAAUUAUUCCUUUAGAUACUGUAUAUAUUAUUUUACUUCAACUUGUACUAUAUGGUUUUCAUGUUUAGUUUUGUUCUCAACUACUAAGAACAGUCAUUAACCUUUUGGAAACUCUACUACCAUUUUGACAUUUUUGUUUUUGAUAAUAGAUUUGUACUCAAAGCUCAGAGCCAAAGGCACCUUAUGCUACAGGAGAUGCUGCUUGUAAAAGUCAAUCUGAGAGGUAAACAUUCCCUUUUCACUAAAUUAUGAAAUGAAAUGCUCCAGUUUAGCAUUCACGACCCAUGUAUUUGAGUGUAAAAGAUGCUCAUAGAAAUUUCAACAGUCUGUGUAUUUUUUUUGCACACAGCCUUCUGAAGAAAUUUACAGAGCAAGUAACUGGUAAAAAAUCAAACGAUGUAGAACAGGUAACAGCAGACAUUGAUUUUUUUUCUUCUGUUUGCUAUUUUUAAAUCAUGCAACUUUACAGCAAUUGCUUGAUUAACAUAUUCACAUUUAUUAUCAGACAAGCCCACUGAUUGAUGAUAUUGAGCAACAAAACUCACCUUGGCUGCAAGACUUGUACCGGCCGUCGAGUCAGUUCGCAAUAAAUCAAUUGGUCACAGGACAAACUUCAAACAAUCCGUAGAUGAGGAAGAAAUAGAUAGCAGAGCUAAUGUGAGAGCUGCUUGGAGUGUUCCUUUGUCUUCAUGGUGUAGUUUUUGCUAAGAUACUGAAUCAUCAACAGUUGGACCUUCCAGAUACCGGUGUAUUUUUACUACAAUCAAUUGAAACACCUUGACUGCACACGGGUCUCCAAUUAACUACCAUGAAUUCUAAAACCAAUUGUCUGCACCAGCGAUGAUUUGGUGUGUUAUAUUACAGGGGGUGGGCUGAAUACUUAUGUAAUCAAUUAUUCUGUGUUUUAUAUUUGCAAUUAAUUUAGAUAACUUUGUAGAGAUCUGUUUUCACUUUGAUAUUAAAGAGUCUUUUCUGUU